GUUCAUCUAGUUCAACUCUCUGCACAAAGCAUUUACAAUUAGAUGGUGUUCACACCCUUUUCCGGCAGCUCCAAUUGCCAGACAGUGUUGAAGGUCUGAUGUCAAGCCAUGAAGCAGAGGCUACAGGUCAGGGUCUAGCCAUGGAGCAGGUGCUGACAAAAAAGCAAGCUCGAGGGCCUCAGCUCCCAAGAUAACAGGCAGCAUGAAUUCCAGGCUCUGCCUGAAUUCCUGUGCUCAAUCUCAGGUGAUCACUUAAUAUAAAACCAGGCCAUGCUGAAUUAGAACACCUUGGGAAAGAGAAAGGCUUUUUUCCUCUGUCUCAAUCCUGAAUUCCAGUCCCUACCUACAUUCUGAAGUCAGGUAAACUUGGUUUGAAUAUGGACUACAUUAAAUUUGGGGCAAUUGAUCUUCUCUGAUGAAGGUGCAGUGAGAGGAGAGUUUUGUUUUCCUAGCAGUGGAAGGUGAAGAAAUAAGAGCUGGCCAGUGAAAGUGUCUGUUCCACAUUUGCGGGGACAUAUUAGAGUCCUCAGCCUUCCAGAUACUAUGCUGUCUACUUUAUUUCCUAGCUGUUUUCCUGUGCCUCUCAUGCUGUUAAAUGUUUCUGACUCUGUGACUUGGAAAGAAUCUAGGAGAUGGGAUGAAGACAAAACUGAAGUUUAAGCACCUUAGGAGUCUUUAUGAUAACUUGGCCAUUCUCAGACUGAAGGCUUUCGACAUAGGCAUCAACUUCCUCCAUAGGUGUUGUGGUCAGAAGAGGCCAUUGUAUGCUUCCAUUCGGAUCCACAUGAACCAGAGAUUCCUGCUCAGCAUUGCCCUAGUUAUUGAGCAGAACUACUGUGCUCAUUGGCUCAUUUUGGCAUCUGCAAGGACAUUAUAUGCUCUAGGAGGAGCCUCUUUUGAUAUAGUGCAACCUAAAAGCUCUGACCGGUACUUCCUAGCAAAUCUCAGUGUGAGAGAUGACGAGGGCUGUGUUUAAUUUUUCAGCCUGUGAACCACAUGGUGUAGGGACCAGCACAUGUUCACUGCUGCCAUUCCCACAAUCAAUAACACCCAGAAAAGGGCUCAUGGAUGCUGGUGACCUGAGAGAUUUAAAUGCCUCUAGCUUCCUUCAUCAAAAGAUUAGGACCAGAGAAAAAAUUCUUACAUUAGAGUUAAUGAGAAGAAUGAAAGACCCUUUGGGACAUGUUGGUCCAAAAACUGCAAUUUAUCUUUGCCCCCUGAGAGACCAGGCAAUGCUGGAGAACAUAAAAUGGUGGAAUUAUUAAGGCUGAAAAAGACCUUUAAGAUCAUUGAAUCCAACCAUUAACCCACCACCACUGUGUUCAGCUCUAAACUGUGUCCCCAGAUGCCACAUCCACAUGCUUUUUAAGUACUUCAAGGGAACGGGAUUCCACCACUUCCCUGAGCAGCCUGUUCCGAUGACUGAUCAUCCUUUCAGUGAAGAACUUUCUCCUAAUAUCCAAUCUACACAUCCUCUGGCACAGUUUAUGGACAUUUCCUCAAUCUCUCACUUUUUACUUGGGAGAAGAGACUGACCCCCACCUGGCUGCAACCUCUUUUCAGGUAGUUGUAGUGAAUAAUAAGGUCCCCACUGAGCCUCCUUUUCUCCAGGCUAAUCACCACCAGCUCCCUCAGCUGCUUCUCAACAAACUGAAAAACAUAGGGAAGGAGGAACAGUGUUGUGACUUAUUCAGGAAUGUUACACAGUCUCCCAGUGGCAUUGAUGAGCCAAACCUGUAGCUGAGUUACAUGGCACACAGUCUCUGAGACCAAAGCAUUAAACAACUUACCCAGAUGUUUCCAUGACGAUCCAACCAUACUAUUUAGCUACUGGGGCUGCAGCAUAUGCAUGGAGGUAUUCAGCCAGAUGUGAUGAAGUGAAUGUUUCUUCUAAUGUUUCUUUUAGUUUCAGGUGAAUGAUGCUAUACACUCCUAUCUUUACGGGCUAUCGGGGCUGCAGUUGAGAAGUAGGUCACUAUGAAAACUACUUGAUGAAGUAACCUAAAUUUAAUAAGUAGAAUUUAACCCAUGUUCAGUGAAUGUUGUUUCAAGGCCUUCUGCUUACAGCCCCCUUCCGAGGCUAAAAAGCACUGCCACAGUGGCAAUUACACAGACCAACACUCUGAAAGACUUGUGUUUGAUCCAUGGGCUGGAAAAACCUGCUUAAUCCAGAGUUUUCAAUAGCUACAAUCAGUGAUAAAGUACCAUCAUAUGGGAUGAUGAAAGAUAAUAAGAUAAAAAGUUUUCCAUCUGCUCUGAAUGAUUGUUUGGCAUCAUACUAAUCUUCAAGCUGUUUGACCAAAGGCAGAUGAGCAAUAAAAUUCAGCAAACAACCUCCGUAAGACAGAGGUGUCUUUUUGUUCACUCUGGGGGUUUGUUAAGCCAAUGUCUAGAUUUCAGUGGGAGGCCUUUUUAGCUUAAACAGACUGAAUUUUUGCAGAAAAUCUUGAACGCUUGGUAGCAGCUAUAAACAUUUAUAACCUGCCAUUAUUUUAUUUUACACUUAAAGUUAUAUAGUUGCUGUAUGCAUUUGUUUAGGGAAAUCUUUAUACUCAUAUGAUAAUUUUCUGCACCCAGUUUCAUCACUGUCAAGUAAUCCUGCUGAUUUCAGAGUAAAUAUGGGCUAAUAUUCCUAUAAAAGGAUUGCUCUUGACUCAAAAAUGUCAACACUUUCUUGUUUCCUGCAAUUCUAUUACUCUGCAGUUUACUUACAAAUGUUUUCUAAGGGAAUCGGAUAAAAAAGAAAUAAAAAAUUGAAAUAACUAUUUAAAAAACCCCACAAUGAUGAUAUUUGAGGCAUAUGAUUGCAUGGGUUCUUUUUCUAUUUAAUACUCGGAAAACACAAUUUCUAAUGGAAGAAAAUGGA